rnacentral:rRNA from 1 species
GAUGAACGCUGGCGGCGUGCUUGAUACAUGCAAGUCGAACGGAGAGUGUAGCAAUAUACUUUUAGUGGCGAACGGGUGAGUAACGCGUUGGUGACCUGCCCCGAAGCGAGGGAUAACAGUUCGAAAGAACUGCUAAUACCUCAUGUGAUCACCGGUUUUAGAAUCUGGUGAUUAAAGGUGAAAAUCACUUCGGGAGGGGCCUGCGUCCCAUCAGCUAGUUGGUAAGGUAAUGGCUUACCAAGGCGAUGACGGGUAGGGGACCUGAGAGGGUGGCCCCCCACAAUGGAACUGAAACACGGUCCAUACACCUACGGGUGGCAGCAGUAGGGAAUAUUGCAAAUGGGCGAAAGCCUGAUGUAGCAACGCCGCGUGUGCGAUGAAGGUCUUCGGAUUGUAAAGCAACUUUUUGGAGGGAUGAGGAAGGACAGUACCUCCAGAAUAAGCCUCGGCUAACUACGUG